UAUGAGAGUUUGAUCCUGGCUCAGGAUGAACGCUGGCGGCGUGCCUAAUACAUGCAAGUCGAGCGAAUGGAUUAAGAGCUUGCUCUUAUGAAGUUAGCGGCGGACGGGUGAGUAACACGUGGGUAACCUGCCCAUAAGACUGGGAUAACUCCGGGAAACCGGGGCUAAUACCGGAUAACAUUUUGAACCGCAUGGUUCGAAAUUGAAAGGCGGCUUCGGCUGUCACUUAUGGAUGGACCCGCGUCGCAUUAGCUAGUUGGUGAGGUAACGGCUCACCAAGGCAACGAUGCGUAGCCGACCUGAGAGGGUGAUCGGCCACACUGGGACUGAGACACGGCCCAGACUCCUACGGGAGGCAGCAGUAGGGAAUCUUCCGCAAUGGACGAAAGUCUGACGGAGCAACGCCGCGUGAGUGAUGAAGGCUUUCGGGUCGUAAAACUCUGUUGUUAGGGAAGAACAAGUGCUAGUUGAAUAAGCUGGCACCUUGACGGUACCUAACCAGAAAGCCACGGCUAACUACGUGCCAGCAGCCGCGGUAAU
rnacentral:rRNA from 1 species